AUUAGUAUUAGUUAUGUUCUUGAAAAUUAAAAGAUUUGGCGGUAUUUUAGUCUAUUCAGAGGAACUUGUCCUAUAAUUGAUAGUCCACGAUCAAUUAUACUUUUUUUUUUAGUUUAUAUAUCGUCGUGUUUGAAGAUUUUAUAAAAAUUAUUAAUUUUCAAAAUUUUUUAUUAGAAAAUAAAUCAGAUCAAGAUGUAGUUUAUAAAAAAGUAGAGAUGAGUUACAAUAAAUAUAUUUUAGGAUUUUUAUUAGAAUAAUAUAAUGAAUAUGGAUUUGAUAGUAAUUUUAAUUAAUUAAUUAAAAUGAUUUUAGCUCUAAAAUAUGUACACAUC
rnacentral:rRNA from 1 species